GAAAGGAAGAAAAAAAGAAAGAGGGAGGAAGGAAAGAGAAAGAAAGAGCGAGAAGCCAAGGAGGGAGGGAGGAAGAGAGCAAAGGAGGAAAGGAAGAAAUAAAGGCUGAAGAGACCGAAGUUUCCACAGUCUUAAAACUGAGGUAUCAUUUGUAAAGUUUAAAAGGAAAGGAAAUAUCAAUGUCUCCCAAAGUGUGUUCCUCAAAACUGGUCCUGGGAGAUGCUAUGUGGGAAUCGUGGAACACAUUUUGGUAUGAGUUUGACAUGGGUCUUGGUCUCCUCCACAUUUUCCAUCCAGGAGCACAGUCCCCCUGUGACAGGGUAAGUGUAUUAUUAUCAUAAGAUGUCAUCAAUGGCUCCAUCCGUGCAUUCUUGUUGGAAGCAGGAGGUGGAGCCUUUCCCAAGAAUCUUCUAAUUUUCACACAUCAUUGUCCAUUCUUUCCUGGACUUUCAAAAUCCUCUUGGAGAACCUAUUCUCCACCACCUGGAAGGACAUACCCUGAACCUGUACUACUAAAAGGAAUUUUAGCCUGGGGAAGCCCUCUCCGACACACCCCGCAACGCCCUCCCCACCAUCUGUCACGUAGGCGAGUCUUCUGCUCCCACCUCCAGCAAGUUCCUAUCAUAUGCCCCGAUCCCUCUGCUGGAUCUGGGGCCACACAACAAAAGUCCUAACCACUGCCGCUCCCACACUCACAGGCCUGUGUGAGAAAGAAGUAGAGAGUUGCCGUCCAGCAUGACCAGGGUCGUGAAGGAGGAACGCCCAAGACAGACACGUGGGAUCACUUUGAAAAGUCAUCUAACUGCCAUGGGCAAUCAGAGGCUUUCUGAAGAAAGUGUCCCUAAGAGAGGGCCUGAGAGAUUAGCAGGAAUUAGCCAAGAGAAAGAGGAGGAAGAUAUUCCAAGCCAUGGGAACAAUCGGUGCAAACACAGAGAACACAGAGGCGCUCAGAAUCGGCGAGAUGGAGGCUUCAAGUCAGCCCUAACGAGGCCAGGGUAGAGCCCAGGGAACUGGCCCGUCUCCUUGCUGUGCAAAUGUGCUCAGGAUGGGGUAGGCAGCUGUAAAAAUGAAACGGUGCCGAAUGCCAGGUCCCAGAGCUAGCUAAGGAGGAAGCAGGGCUGGGAGGAUGGCUCUUGAGGGAG
rnacentral:lncRNA from 10 species